GCACACACACACACGUCAGCAAAGGAGAUAGCUUAUGGCUAUGCUCGACUGCCAAUAACUACAUAGCGAUCCCAUUCCACUGCACUACGAGUUCAAAAGAACCAUGCCGACCAAUUUUUACUCGUGGAAAUUUUUUAGAAAGCAGCAUGCUGAAAUACUUUCCUCCACAAAACUGAGUAUGCGGGAGCUUCCCUCGAGCACGAAGGAGAGUUACAGUGACCUACUCGGACCAUGUGUCGACCAUGCUGUGAGUUUGAGUCGAGCGCAAACUCUUCUAAACUCGCAAAUUAGGUCCCCGCAGUGGGACAGGCCCUUAAGCCAGUUCAUUGACUUGCUAAAUACUUGGAGUUGUUGGUAUAUUAACCAUGGUGUGUGCACAUUUCCAGUGGAGCUGCUACAGAUACACUGCAGUAGAUGCUAAACCCAGGGGGAAAAAAUGCUAACAGCAGAUUGAGUUCCAAAGUUCUACUGUGGAGAUGAGAUUUAUAAUUUAGUCUUGUUGGUGCAAAGCGUACUGCAGUGGUAAUGCACAUUGGGAAUUAAUCAAAAGUGUGAUGGAUUGCUGCCCUCUUAUUCAAAGAGCUUCUUGCCAGGAGCGUUACUUCAUAAUAUUUCUCCAGGGCCCAGAGUGUUAUGAUGUUCAACAUAGAUUUCUGCCAGAUUUUAAAUUGUGGUUUCAUUGUUAUGUUAGAAAAUCAAUAUGUAAGACUCCCCUGGCUCAUUCUGCCAUUUCCUACUUCUAUCCACCUGAUUGCUCAUUUUGAUCUCUCAGCCCCAAUUUCCUUUCCACUGUUAUUACAAGGUAACUCAGUGUGCCACUGCAGAGAACAAAUGUAGUAUCUAUGCUCUCAGUAUUAACGGUGAUACUGAGAGCACGUUAGAAAGCCUGUGGCGAAGAGCAAGCCAAAACCUGUGUAACACGAGACCAGCCCAGUAGCUCCUGCUGGCCUGGGAUUUCUGACAAGAGCAUCAUAACCUUAGCUGAUAGAUUCCUGUUUAUGGUCAAGCCUUCAGUGUGUGAUUGGGAAUUACAGGUGCAUGGAGCUUAAACAUGCCAGUUCACAUACAUACAGCAGAGUACAGCACAGCUACAGGCCCUUUGGCCCGCAAUGUUUGUGCCGAACAUGAUGCCAAGAUAAACUGGUCUCAUCUGCCUGAACAUGAUCCAUAUCCCUCUAUUCCCUGCACUUCCAUGUGCCUAUCUAAAAACCUCUUGAACAUCACUACUGUGUCUGCCUCCACCAACACCCCUGGCAAUGUGUUCCAGGUCCCCACUACACUGUAAAGAAAAUUGCCCUGCACACCUCCAUUAAACUUUCCGCCUCUCACUUAUAGUUAUGCCCUCUAGUGUCGGACAUUUCCAUCCUCGCGAAAAGGUCAGAACGAUGUAAUUCUGUAAUUCAGAUUCACGGUACGACUACUGCCCUGGACAUUUUUAGGUGCAUCAAUGGGAACGCUGCAUAUUUUGAGGAUCUAGCAUGUGUUGCCUGUGCUCUGCUCCAAAGCCACAUUAAUGCUGGAAGGAUGGAUAGCGCGAUCAAAGGGGAGAGCGACAGGUGGGUGAGAAGGCAUCAGUCAGUGGUGGAUAAUUGAAGUUAAGUUGGAAUAGUACUGCAUCGGGGUUUGCAAUGGGAGUAGUAAACACUGCCCAGUCCAUCAUCGGCUCUGACCUUCCUUCCAUCGAGGGGAUUUAUCACAGUCGCUGCCUCAAAAAGGCUAGCAGUAUCAUCAAAGACCCACACCAUCCUGGCCACAUACUCAUCUCCCUGCUACCUUCAGGUAGAAGGUACAGGAGCUUGAAGACUGCAACAACCAGGUUCAGGAAUAGCUACUUCCCCACAGCCAUCAGGCUAUUAAACCUGGCUCGGACCAAACUGAUUAUUAAUAACCCAUUAUCUGUUAUGUGUACUUUAUCAGUUUAUUUAUUCAUGUGUGUAUAUAUUUAUAUUAUGGUAUAUGGACACACUGAUCUGUUUUGUAGUAGAUGCCUACUAUGUUCUGUGUGCUGAAGCAAAGCAAGAAUUUCAUUGUCCUAUCAGGGACACAUGACAAUAAACUCACUUGAACUUGAAGAUGCUCAACAAUGAUAUUCCCAGGACAAUAUGAUCCAAAAGGAACAUCACAGUCAGAAAUAGCUUCAGGGGCACAGAGAUAGUUUACACCUAGAAGUGUCCAAUUGGGCACAAAAUAACCUGUGCGAAAAAAGAUUUUCUGGUGCUAAAUGUUGGACUAAACAGCAUUAUGUAAUUGAAUUUCUGUGUGAUUACCUUAACAUUUCAGGCAUGGAAUUAAAAUGUUCCUGUUUGGUAAUAGACCGGAAAAUUUGCCAUCGCACAUUGAGUGCCCCAUCAACCCUGAUGUAGCAGGCAGUCGGCUGGUGAAGAAGGGUCCUGACCCGAAAUGUUACCUAUCCUUUUUCUCCGGAGAUGCUGCCUGACCCGGUGAGAUACUCCAGCAUUUUGUAUCCGAUCAGCAUAAAUCAGUAUAAAUGUAUAAACC